ACCGCUGAUGCUGUCAAAACACUUGCAUCCUCAAGCCGCAGUGAAAGUCGCUUGAACGUCAGUUCUUCUUUUAACCAAGUCCACAUUUUGUGAAUGCUACAGUACCGAAACCUUGAUUGAACAGAAAAUGUGUUAAUAAAAGCAAUAUAAAAGCAUAUAAUGUUUUAACUACUCAGACUUCUGUGCUCACUGAGUAGUGAGUACUUAG